rnacentral:lncRNA from 1 species
UAUCUAUUUAGUCCCACUGUUUGCUGUAAUGACCAAAAAAUAUUCUAGUUGCCCACGUGAGACAUUUGGGCUUGCCUGUAGAAAAUUAGGAGAUCAAAUUUUGUGGGAUGGGUUAGAGACUGACACGAAGGGUGGGAUUCAAAGUUGCAUUCAGUUUGUAUAUUAACUUUGAUUUUGUGAUAAUCAGAAUAGAAAACUUGGAAAUGGAUAUUUUAGUAUCCAAAAUGAAGCAAGGUUUACAUAUCUGGCCUGAAUCUUCAGGCUGCUCUGAGCUGAGUUCCAUUCCCCAACAUACCUAGUGGAGAUACUUAUGUCUUUUGAAGCAGAAUGUACAGAGAAAGGGCAAAAAAUUCAAGGGGUUCGAGUGAAUCGAGGAAGUGGAGUGAUUUUCGAAAAAAUGACGAAAAAGAAUUUCGAGUGUUGGUUAAACAUUACUUUAUGAAAGGCAAAACGCCUUUGGAGACUAAAAAAAAGCUUAUGAAAUGGAAGCCUUAUUCUGUGUUAACUCUUUAGCCUUGAUAUAAUUCAUUUUAUGAUUCAAUCCAAGACCAAAUAUAGUCAAUCCGUAUGUAUUGUAAUUACUAAUCUGUAUGUAUCCGUGUUCAAUUAUCAUAAGCCUUCUUCAUCAAUUAAAGGAUACUAGAUAGAGACUCCUUGGCAAAUGUGUGGAAUUGAACCUGAGAAAAAAUUGUGUUACUUUGUCACUUCUGGUAUUAAAGAACAAUUCAUUGUGAUAAAGUGUAACAUAAUUACAUAUGGUGAUCAUGAAUAAUUAAUUGUAAGCAUUGAUUCAGUUUCAGUCCAUUCUUAACAUAUAGUGAGCGUUUUAAGUGAUAAAGAUACAUAAAUAAAUUCAAAUACCGACUAUGUAGAAGGAUUCUUUUAAGCAAAUAACUUUUAGGAUUCCAUAAUGUUUGAAACAGUUUUAGUAUUCAUUGAAUUAAAACUAAUACUUUAUUGAAAUGGAAUCGAUAAGUCAAAAUAGAGGAUCAUUAUCAAAUUUGUAGGAUGAGUUAGAUAUUCAAUAAUUUUAUGUAUAGUUUAGAAAAUUUAUUUAAUUUAAGGAACUUAAUUUGCCCCAAUAUAGUCAAUUUCCUAUAAAAUACAUCAAUUUCUAACUUUUUUAUUAUGAUCAUCAAUUUUGUCUACUUUGAGUGCAAUUGAUGGUGCCUCCAGAGGGUUAAUACAAAUAAUUUGGUUACAAAAAUUGACAUAAAAUUGUCAAAGAAUAAAAAUGUAAUCUACACUCAAUUUUGAGAAAAAUCAUUCUAGUUUACUUUUAAGUUGAUCUGUCACAUAUGGCAUUUUUUAUGUACAUAUAUCCCUUAAAUUUUACUUUAUAACCCGGAUUUUUCUCACUUCUGAGGUAAAUAAUUGAUGUCGUUGGAAAUGUCAUUUAAAACAUGUGAUCUCUCUUAGAUAAAUUUUGGAUCUUGCAUUUGAGCUUCGGGCGAGAUCACUAGUUUUUCUCACAUGGAGGAAGACAACUUGGAUUAUAUUAGACUAGACUCUUAAUAUUAUCAGCACAUUUAUUGUUUUCCUGAUGACACAAACUAUGUGUCUUGAACAUAGGUAAUGUCACAGGCUCAGAUUCAUUUUUAGGAUUGUCUUGCAUCCAGGAAUGGACAAACAACUUUUGUUGGCACCUUUAGAAUUGACAAAGGACUAUUUUCUUAUGGAGUUCCUAAAACUUUUACCAUAUCCACAUAGAUGAAUAAAAAUUAUCCUCAAGUAUAUACAUUUUAUAUAGAUAUUUCGGAAAAACAAGCAUAGUACUGAGUAAAAACUUUGAAGAAGACGUUCUUCAACAUAAUCUCCAUCUAAGUUUUGAAGGGAAAACUCCAUUGUCAAAUCAAUUCUUCUUAAGCCAUAUGAAAGUGAUAUUCCAAUUAAACCUAUUAUUUUGCGUCAUUGAUUAAGUGAUAUUCGCCAAUGCGAAUAAGAUCUGAAGGACUAGACCAAUGAGGAAUCCUCUAUAUUCACAAAACCCAAUAAAUUAUUUUCUCGAAUCCUGUUAUUAUUUAAAUCCUUAAUUUGAAGUGGUUUAUUUAUUAAUGAACAUUGUAUGAACUUUUUGAAAUUCAUUCCAACUAUAGCAUUUUAUAGUCCCUCCAGCUCCACUCACUUGCGGACACCCCUUAUUUUUUCGUUAGAAUAAACUCACCUCUUUGGUCUUUAACCAAAUACCUCUUGCAGCAGAAAGAGGUAUCUUCUCCUAUUACUGAAUUGAUUGGUUAGAAGGAAGAACUAGGUAUGACCCACUCAAACGUUAUCACCGUAUGUGUUUUUAGAGAUGUGCGGCGAUCCGUGAACCCCCUUUAAUUAUUUGGUUUAAAUUUAUUAUGAUAUUUGAAUAUUAUCCUUAUCAAGGGUUAGUCGGGUGGAGGGGUUAAUAGUAGGAGUUUACUGAUCCAUCGGAAUUGGUAAGAAUGGACCUUUUUUAUUAUCGGAAUACUCUCAGUAAUGCCGAUUUAAUCGAUAUAUAUGCAUAAUUUUUUAAUUGAAUUACAUAUAUGAUUCAUUUGAGCUCAUUUUUGGUGACAAAAUUACAGAUGAAAAUCAAUGAAAAAGAGGGGGAGGGAUGUACAUUGAAAGUUUAUACAAAUUUGUAGGUUUGUACGGAAAAUUUAGAUGAAAGUAACAACUUAGAAAUAACCGCAUAUUUGAAUUGAAUAAAUAAGUCGUGCAAAAUACCGUAAUGUUAAAAGUUGUGUAGAGUAGUGUACUUUUUAUCAUUUAGCAUCUUUUUCACAAAAUAUUUCUUCUUUUUGUUGAAUAAUAUUGUUUAUUACAAAACUGAAGAUGAGUCCUAUUUUCUUAAUCAAGUUUGACUUAUCAACCCUAGAUUUAUUAAAAAAGACAAGAGUUCGAACUCGAUCACUGGUUUAUACAUAUUUCAAUUCCUAGGACAUGCACAUAAAACUCAGUUAGAAACUGGAGACAGUUCAAGAUAGCGUUGAAACUUGGUCCAACGCCGAUUUUUUUUUUUCAGUUCGGUCUUGAGUGAUUUUUUCUUGACCGAUUUGGACCAAUUUUUUGGUACAAACCCCGUUCUCAGUCCAUGGGCCGAUUUUUUUGGUCUCGUUGUGUAAACCGAUUUUGAUUUGGUCUCACUUUAUGAACCAAUUUUUUUUGUCUCAUAUAUUAUGCCAGACCAAUUGUUUUUUUUUUUUUUUUUUUCAAAAUCACCUGGCAUUCAUUUUUCGCGAAAAAAUAUAUCAAAAGUACACGAUAAGUUCUAGAACAAAUACUCAAUACAUAUAAGAGACGGCGGGAUCAAAAUUAAUCCGAGGCAUCUCUGUUUAACCAUUGUAUGAUGUAAUUUUACUUGAGAAAAACAUAUGAUUUAUCUGUAAAAUCGGUCAUGACUGAUCAAGAACGAACUGUUCCUAUGGACCGAUCUAGACCGAAUUUUUAUAUGAGACAAGUAUAGGAUUUCCAGACCAAAAUCCAUCACUAGUUCAAGACCAUUUGAUCUCAUGUGGGCUGAACCAGUAAAAUAAUAGAAAAUUGCUUUUUGUUAGUGUCGCAAGUAUUUUUUUUUUUUUUGGAAGUGAGGCAGUUGGGCAAAGAGGCAGACUUUAAAUAUCCAUAAAACUCCCUAAUAUGGGCCAAACGGAAAUUAAUUGACUCUUGAGGACAGAGAGUACCUAAUUAACUUUUUAAAACUAAAAUAUAUUAUUAACUAUUUAUGAUA